rnacentral:lncRNA from 1 species
GACCUUGGCCAGCCCAGAAAGGGGCUCCCACAGUGCAGCGGCGGGCUGAAGGGCUCCUCAAGCGUGGCCAGAGUGGGCACCAAGGCCGAGGAGGCGCCGAGAGCGAGCAAGGGCUGUGAGGGCUGCCAGCACGCUGUCACCUCUCACUUCUAAACUGCCAGAGAAUCCCUGAGAGGAGGCUGGUCUUCCUGACAUUCUGUUCACACUAUUAAUUUGUUUUGCAAACCUUUUUAAUGGAAGGAGAAUUAUAUAAACCACCACCCUGCUCCUGUGUAUACUAUUCCACAGCAUCAGCAUCACUUGAUAACUUGUAGAAAUGCACCUUCCUCGCUGGGUGUGGUGGCUCAUGUCUAUAAUGAGGGAGGCCGAGGCAGGAGGAUGGCUUGAGCCCAGGAGGUGGAGGCUGCAGUGAGCCAUGACUCCACCACUGGACUCCAGCCUGGGCGACAGAAGGAGACCCUGCCUCUAAAAAGAAAGAAAGAAAUACACAUUUCUGGGGCCCAAUCUAGAGCGAUCGAACAUAAUUCUGGGCGUCGGGCUCAGCGCUCUGAGUUUUGACAACCCCCCUACGCCCAGCUCAUUUGAGAAUGCCGGUCUGAGAUGACUGAUUCCCAGCUUGGAACAUUUGAGUUACUGAGGUGAUUGAUUCUAAGAGUCAGCUGGAGCCAGGACUAGCAGACUGGGAAUACAUUCGUUUAACAAUGGAAUACCAUUUUCAAAUCAUCAUGCAUUUCUUUUCUGGGUGCCAUCUCCUGUGCAGGGGAGGACUGGAAAGACAGGGAAAUUCUGGUAGCCUUGGGAAGGCAGAAGGGUGGGGCUUGGCUGGCCAGGGGACGGGCGCGGAGGGGGAGGGAAGAAGAGGAGGAAGCCGCGGGGCCUCACAACCCAUCUGGUUGGAAACGUCCUGCAGUGCCGCCCGAGCCGCAGGAACCGGAGCCAAUUACAAGUUUAUAUAAUAGAGUCAGUCUCCCCGGGCCUCCCCUCUCCGCCCCACCCCUGCCGGCUUUGGGGAUGGGGGAGGAAACGCUUUCCGUGAAAUACAGGCUGGAUCUAGGACGGAGGAUGCCUUUUCUGGAUUGACAACUAGGGGCCAGUCCUGAGUGUGAGAAACUCCUGGGGUCCUGUUUUGGGAUCCGGACACCUCGGGCGCCGCGCAGGCCUCCUUGUGCCUCGGGAGCGGCCCCGCCUACGGAACGGGACCUGGAAGGGAGGUGUCCGGGUCGAGCGUUCGCGCUGCUCCCCGCCGCACGGUGUGAGCUCGCCGGGUUUAUGUAACGCCUGCCCUUCGCGGAGGACCGUGUCAUGUCCGAAUCGCGGAGGACGGAGGAGGCGGGGGCCUGGGCCGCGACGCCCGCCCACGUGACCGUCAGAUGACUGGGGUCUAAGUUUGCACGAGCUCCUUUACCGUAACGCUGAAGGCUCCUCAUCAACAUCGGCUCUUAGUCAUCCCCGAGUGACAUUUGAUAUGAGCAACAGCUCAGGACGGGGAAAUGGCAACGCGGAUGCUGAUGGAGACGAGGAACGGCUGCUGCGACCGCCUCUGAUUUGGGCUGGAACGGGAGUUUAUGCGGAGUCAAGGAAACCCACCGCGAAGGGUGCCAGGGAAGACCAGGGCACUUUUCUAGACAAAGAAUCUUAGAUUCUUUGGGGCUAGAUGCAGAGAGUCCGGGAGAAACUGUUCACCGGGUGCCAGGCAGGCGGCUGACCACGCAAGCCACGCUUCAGAUUUGUGGGUUGGUUUUAGAAGUCACAUGAGGUCUGCCUGGACGCCCCUCCCGAUCACGUCAAUUAUCUGUCACAACUUCUCUGUGCGCCCCAGGGACCAGCCCCAUGCCCCCAGCGGGGGAGUUGGUUACAGCUGCAGAAUCCCGGCCCCACCCCGCCUCCAGAGCACGAGCCUGCGCUAGAAGGAUAUCACCAGGGGAUGGGGGGGAAUGCGAGGGGGGCGGGGAGGUGGUCACGGAUGCAGAGGCUGUCCUGGCUGCUGAGGCAAAAAGCCCGUCCCAAGCCCUGCAUGGGCUCCUACUGCACUUCAGGAUUUGGGGGAAUGCAGAAUCGUGGUCUUUGAGUUUUCAUUAAUUCAAUAAAGAUUUCUCAAAAGCCUAAAUUCUAGACCCAAGACAGUGGGAAUUAAACAGGGCUGAAUAUGACGCUAUUGGCUAUACCAGGACCACGCCUGAGCAUUGCAUGCACGCUCCAGCUAUGCAUAACUUAUUUAUUUUAAAAGAAGGAAGGAAGAGAGGGAGGGAAACAAGGUGUUUCUUAAGAGUAGAGGAGGGGAGAGGCAACUUGUUGCUUUCACUGGCAACAGUUAACUCCAUAAGCAAUUUCCUCACUUAAAAGAAAAACAAAUGAAGUAGAGUGGUAGGCUUUUGAAAGGAGGAGCAGAGAGCUCCGGUGAGUGGAAACCUAGCUUUUAUUCACCUUAGGGCCUUGUUAAAACACAUUUGCCUUGAGAUAAAAGGGUUUCUUUUGGGACGAUCCCAAAAUGACUUUGCUUGAUUCAAUUAAGCAAGACCUAACGAAAGAGAAUUCCAGCUUAAGAUACGCAUCAUCUCACCAGCAGGCAUGUAUCCAGUAGAUGUGUUGGAAGAUGAUCCUGACGCACAACAGGAAGCAGCUCUGGCUUACCAUGCCUCACUUAGGGAAGGAGCUGGGGCCCCAGCUGAGGUUUUCUGUCUUCCCACUGGGGAGAAGGUAUACGUGAUCUUCCUUGGCGAAGAGCUCUGUAAAAUCUAAUUUACAGAGUAGAAUGUUAUUGAAAGAAUAUAAUAGAUUAAAAAAAAAACCAUUCUGGAGUGAGUAUUAGAAUAAGUGCACCCUCAGAGGCAGAAUGAAUCCUGCAUUGGGAUUCUGGAGUCCAGAGUGUCCGUCCAGAGUUGCCAGGCAGUGAGCCAGAAAGCCUGUAUGAAUGUCUACCACUAACUUACUAGCUGUGUGACCUUGAGCAAGUGUCUUAACCUCUCUGGUCUCGGUAUUGUCAUCUCUAGACUGGGGACAAUAACAGCACAUAUCUUAUAGUGUUGUUAUGAGAAUUAAGUGAGAUACUGUGUGCUAUGCCCAGCUACCUCGGUUUCCCCAUUUGUAAAUGAGGGGAUUGGUUGGUCUUCAAUCUCCGAGGUUUGAUUCAGUUCCAAAACUUUGUGAUGUGGAAUGAAGUUAUAUCAAUUUUGAUUUUUGGCACUGAUGCAAUUCUAUGCAUUUUGAGUAGGGACUGAAAAGUAACAGAGAGAAAUGAAAACCAUUUGUUAGGACAGUAGGAUUGUGGGUGAAAUAUUAAAAUUGUGUUACUUUUAAGAUCUUUAUUUCCCUCCCUGCAGUAAGUAAAAAGAAUAUGUAAGUUUUAGUCAAUACCUAUGUCAGCUACCUUUCUUUCAGAUUUGAGUCUGAUCUGUUGAAAGAGACAAAGUUUUCUUGUUUUAUACGGAUACAAUUUCACUCACAGCAGGUAUUGUUAUCUGGUGGGCAAAGUUGGUUGAGAAAGACAGGGUUUUAUUUCUCUGCACUGAAGUUGUUCCUGAGUUAAUGAAAACAAUGACUUGUACAGUUUAUUGUGUGGCUUCCUUGAGAUUUUGGAGAUGCUAGCUCGCAGUCAUUCCCUGAAGAAUCCAGCGCUCAUCUGUGAUCAAAACCCUCCACGUUUUUGAUCUGCAGAUGGAGGUCGCUUUCCUCACAC